CAGCCGCCGCGGUAACACGGGGGGGGCAAGUGUUAUUCGGAAUGACUGGGCGUAAAGGGCACGUAGGCGGUGAAAAGGGUGGAAAGUGAAAGUCGCCAAAACACUGGCGGGGUGCUUUCUUGACCAUUUCACUUGAGUGAGAUAGGGGAGAGUGGAAUUUCGUGUGGAGGGAUCAAAUCCUAAGAUAUACGAAGGAACGCCAACCGCGAAGGCAGCUCUCUGGGUCCCCACUGACGCUGGGGUGCGAAAGCAUGGGGAGCAAACAGGAUCAGAUACCCCUGUAGUCCCUGUCUCUUAUACC
rnacentral:rRNA from 1 species